CACCCCUCGUCCGUCUCACCCCCCCUAGUCCAAACCCUAGCUUCCCUCGCGCCGCACCCGAGCCAUGCCUCCUUCCCUCCUCACGCCGCCACCCACCCACCGCCUCCUCCCUACCACAGCUCGCUGCCGACGGCCUCCCCUCUCCCAUCCGCUUCCCUCCCGCCCCAGACGGAUUGCCCCUCUCCUCUCCUGCAACCCCCCUCUCUCUCUCUCCCCACACUUCACAGUGACAGCAGGCACUCCCAGAUCCAUCCGGAUGCCGGACAUGGAGGAGUCCGCGCAGCCCAAGCCCGCCAACCCCUCGGAACCGGAGCUCUCCUCGGACCCGCCCAAGGGCGCGGGGACGAACGCGGAUGGCUGGCGGCGAGGCCGCCGCCAGGAGAUCCGACUUCGCCGACGGGAAUGGGGCCGGAUCCGCCACGCCCGAGCGCUCCAUCCUCGUCGACAGGGACGACUACAUCCUAGUAGGUCAGAGCGCUCCAUCUGGUGGGUCCGAGCGCUCCAUCCUCAACAGGGACGACGGGGACGACUACAUCCUCGACAGGGCGGCCUACAUCCGCCAGGUCGCCCGCCAGGGUGGCGGCAGACUUCGCCAUGGGCGGCGCGGCGGCGGUGGUGGCCAAGAUGGGGGUGGCGCCGAAGGAGCGCGUCAAGAUGCUGCUGCAAAACCAAGCCGAGAUGUUGUGCCGGGGUGCCCUCAUGUAGCCCUACCGCGGGAUCACCGAUGCCUUUGCCCGCGUCCUCCGCGAGGAGUGUGCCGCCGCGCUCUGGUGCGGGAACCAGGCCAACGUCAUCCGAUACUUCCCCACCCUGGUCCGCCCCCUCCUCCCUCCCUUCCUUCCUUGACCAUCCACAUUUUCGUCUAACGAAUCCACUCGUCUGCUCGGCCACUGCCGACGCCACGGAGCUUCCAUGGCCUAGCCGGAAGGGGGAAGAAGAGACAUCGGGAUGGAAGGGAAGGAGGCCGCCGGGGAGUGAGCUGUUGUACUCGACGAAGAUAGCUGACGCCCGGAUAACCCCAUCCUCCCAAGAUGGCUUCUCGUGGCAUUCUUUGUUGAAUAAGGGACUGCCGAUCUAUCGACGACUCAACUGAGAGGGCGAGCUGGAGGAGCUUGAGAAGGGCGUGGAGCCUGCGUGGGAGCGCUUGGUCCACAUGCUCGAGCGCAUCAUCGACAGGCUGAACGUCAUAGGCCACAUCAAGGCCGUCAAGGACUCGCCCGACCUCCGUGCCACCGUCGAGGAUGUCGAGGCUGACAAGGACACUGACGAGGUCUAUGCACAGAUGACUCUGCAACCAGUAAACUCUCGGCUACUGUGUCUUGGAAGUUGCUUAGAGCUGGAGGAAUGGAUGCAUGCAGAGGUGGAUAGAACGACAACUGCAGAGUAGAAGUUUGAUAAUCUCUAGAGUCAAGAGGUAAAGGUUUAUUUUGUGUGUGUUUAUACAAUUAGGUUCUGGUUCUUACUGUUCUUGUUCUAGUAUGUAAGGUGAACAAAAGUCAAAAGUCAUGCAUUUGACCAGAUUUAUCUUGUUCUUCUUCUGGUCGAUCGUGAGGAGGUUCUUACUGUUCGCUGACUCUGUUCUGUUUUCAUGGUGAUACAACCUGGUUAUGAGGAAAAUGCCUCACCGGAACAUGGAUGGAACUGACGGGAGGUGGAUCCCUGCUCACCGACGCCAACCUCAUACAUAUCAUCGUCGACGCCAUCAUUAACUAGUACUAGCCUAUGUAGUCCCUUCCCUCCCUCCAUGAAAUAGAUGUUGUCAGUUGAAGGGAUGAUAGUGGCAGUACGAUAGUGUUUUUCUUCAUGCGUUGUGGUGGGAUUAUUGCACUAUUUGCUUGCUACUGUACCAUUGUACCUACAGGUUAUUAGUAUUGUUGAUCCUGACCAUGAGCUUGAAUGGUCUAGUAGUAGAAGAGCAUCAGUUUAAUUUGUAGCAGUCAUGUCACAGAUUUUUUUCCUAUGGCAUGGUACAAUUAUGAUUGGAAUGGUAGCCACUUAACAUGUUAGAAUGUACUGAUUAUUUGGGUUAA